AAUCACUUAGUCGGGAGGAAGAUAGCUGCGUUGCUAGAAGGAUUCCCAGGCUGCCCUGUGAUACUGACAGCUUUGGCAGCAACCAGUGCUGAAUGGAGGCAUUCUGCCAAUAGCUGUGUGAGUGAGCCAUCUGGAAUGAUGAUCCCCCAGCUCCAGUCACACCUUCAUAUAGCUGCAACCCCUGCCGACAUCUUGAGCAUAGCCUCAUGAAAACCACUGAGCCAGAACCACCCAUGUGAGGCGCUUCCAGGUUCCUGGUUCUCAGAAACUAUGAAAUGCCACACAGAAUUUGCUCCAUGAAGCCCUGAAAAGAACGUCACCAGAACUGAUGGAAAAGAGUGCUUAUUAAGGCUUCCACAAACCGGGACACAGGAGAGUGAGAAGAUGUAGGCUUAGCCUACGUCCUUGCCCCACCCCCUCCUCGCUUCUCCACAGGCCUGGGAGCAGUCUUAUUCUCUAACAUCACAUCUCUUGUCACAUGGAUCCUGUUCCAUGGCUUCAGCUCUUCACCCUCUAGUCCUAAGGGAAGGUAAUAUCUUCCUACGGCUGCUACUCGUUGGUCUUCACAAAUGCUGGCUUGUUCUCUUCACCCUGUCCAUAUUUAAUAAAUUGUUCUUGCAUCAAAUGUUCUCAAACUCUUCUGAGUGUGCCAACCAUUUGCUACUUCAGCCCUGGCAGUAUCCUCCCCAAGAACAGAACUUAAGUGUUCAGUAACUUUAUGUUCCUAGGGUUUAAUACAAUGCCUGGAAGAGAGUGGGCACAUAUGAAAUGCUUUUGGAAUGCAUGAAUAAAGGAGAGCAGUACUAGGGUAGCUACUGUGUAAAAAAAGUAAAUAUAAAAAACACUUACUGAAAUGAAGUUUACAAUCUAAGAAGGAAAACAAUACAGGUGCAGAAAUUCAAAUCACUGUUAAAGAUUGCACAUGGUAAGUAAUGAAUCACAGGCCACCAUGUUCAGGUUCCAGAAAACGGCGUAAUUCCUUACUAGUAGGGAAAAGCUCCCUAACACCAGGUAAAAAGUAUAUAUAU